GACGAACGCUGGCGGCGCGCUUAACACAUGCAAGUCGAGCGAAGCGGCGGCCGGGUGAGUAACACGUGUGUAACCUGCCUUAGACAUUGGGCUAGCCUCGGGAAACCGGGAUUAAUACCAAAUGGUCUAAGAUGGACUCGCGUCCCAUUAGAUAGUUGGUGAGGUAACGGCCCACCAAGGCGACGAUGGGUAGCCGGCCUGAGAGGGUGAACGGCCACAUUGGAGCUGAGAAACGGUCCGAGCUCUACAGGAGGCAGCAGUGGGGAAUAUAGCACAAUGGGGGGAACUCUGAUGCAGCGACGCCGCGUGAACGAAGAAGGCUUUCGAGUCGUAAAGUUCUUUUAUAUGGGAAGCGGUACCAAAAGAAAAAGCCCCGGCUAACUACGUGCCAGCGGCCGCGGUAAUAC
rnacentral:rRNA from 1 species